AUUGAACGCUGGCGGCAUGCUUUACACAUGCAAGUCGGACGCGUGGCGAACGGGUGAGUAAUAUAUCGGAACGUCCCGAGUAAUGGGGGAUAACUAAUCGAAAGAUUAGCUAAUACCGCAUAUUAUUCGAGCGGCCGAUAUCUGAUCAGCUAGUUGGUGGGGUAAAGGCCUACCAAGGCGACGAUCAGUAGCGGGUCUGAGAGGAUGAUCCGCCACACUGGGACGGAGACACGGCCCAGACUCCUACGAGGGGCAGCAGGGGGGAAUUAGGGAAAAGGGGCGCAAGCCUGAGCCAGCCAUGCCGCGUGUCUGAAGAAGGCCUUCGGGUUGUAAAGGACUUUUGUCAGGGAAGCGGGACCUGAAGAAUAAGCACCGGCUAACUACGUGCCAGCCGCCGCGGAAAUG
rnacentral:rRNA from 1 species